rnacentral:rRNA from 1 species
GACGAACGCUGGCGGCGUGCUUAACACAUGCAAGUCGAACGGAAAGGCCCUGCUUUUGUGGGGUGCUCGAGUGGCGAACGGGUGAGUAACACGUGAGUAACCUGCCCUUGACUUUGGGAUAACUUCAGGAAACUGGGGCUAAUACCGGAUAGGAGCUCCUGCUGCAUGGUGGGGGUUGGAAAGUUUCGGCGGUUGGGGAUGGACUCGCGGCUUAUCAGCUUGUUGGUGGGGUAGUGGCUUACCAAGGCUUGACGGGUAGCCGGCCUGAGAGGGUGACCGGCCAAAUUGGGACUGAGAUACGGCCCAGACUCCUACGGGAGGCAGCAGUGGGGAAUAUUGCACAAUGGGCGGAAGCCUGAUGCAGCAACGCCGCGUGCGGGAUGACGGCCUUCGGGUUGUAAACCGCUUUCGCCUGUGACGAAGCGUGAGUGACGGUAAUGGGUAAAGAAGCACCGGCUAACUACGUG